CCUACGGGCGGCUGCAGUGGGGAAUAUUGCACAAUGGGCGCAAGCCUGAUGCAGCCUUGCCGCGUGUGUGAAGAAGGCCUUCGGGUUGUAAAGCACUUUCAGCGGGGAGGAAGGCGUUAAGGUUAAUAACCUUGGCGAUUGACGUUACCCGCAGAAGAAGCACCGGCUAACUCCGUGCCAGCAGCCGCGGUAAUACGGAGGGUGCAAGCGUUAACCGGAAUUACUGGGCGUAAAGCGCACGCAGGCGGUCUGUCAAGUCGGAUGUGAAAUCCCGGGGCUCAACCUGGGAACUGCAUUCGAAACUGGCAGGCUAGAGUCUUGUAGAGGGGGGUAGAAUUCCAGGUGUAGCGGUGAAAUGCGUAGAGAUCUGGAGGAAUACCGGUGGCGAAGGCGGCCCCCUGGACAAAGACUGACGCUCAGGUGCGAAAGCGUGGGGAGCAAACAGGAUUAGAUACCCCAGUAGUC
rnacentral:rRNA from 1 species